rnacentral:rRNA from 1 species
CGCACGGGUGCGUAACGCGUGGGAAUCUGCCCUCAGGUUCGGAAUAACAGCGAGAAAUUGCUGCUAAUACCGGAUGAUAUCGCGAGAUCAAAGAUUUAUCGCCUGAGGAUGAGCCCGCGUAGGAUUAGCUAGUCGGUGUGGUAAAGGCGCACCAAGGCGACGAUCCUUAGCUGGUCUGAGAGGAUGAUCAGCCACACUGGGACUGAGACACGGCCCAG